GAUCAUGGCUCAGGAUGAACGCUAGCUACAGGCUUAACACAUGCAAGUCGAGGGGCAGCAUUGGAGUAGCAAUACUCAGAUGGCGACCGGCGCACGGGUGAGUAACACGUAUCCAACCUGCCGCUUACUCGGGGAUAGCCUUUCGAAAGAAAGAUUAAUACCCGAUGGUAUAAAGAGCUCGCAUGUUCUCUUUAUUAAAGAAUUUCGGUAAGCGAUGGGAUGCGUUCCAUUAGAUAGUUGGCGGGGUAACGGCCCACCAAGUCUACGAUGGAUAGGGGUUCUGAGAGGAAGGUCCCCCACAUUGGAACUGAGACACGGUCCAAACUCCUACGGGAGGCAGCAGUGAGGAAUAUUGGUCAAUGGACGAGAGUCUGAACCAGCCAAAGUAGCGUGAAGGAUGACUGCCCUAUGGGUUGUAAACUUCUUUUAUAAGGGAAUAAAGUGAGGGACGUGUCCCUUUUUGUAUGUACCUUAUGAAUAAGGAUCGGCUAACUCCGUGCCAGCCGCCGC
rnacentral:rRNA from 1 species